UGGGGAAUAUUGCACAAUGGGGGAAAGCCUGAUGCAGCAACGCCGCGUGGAGGAUGACACAUUUCGGUGCGUAAACUCCUUUUAUAUAGGAAGAUAAUGACGGUACUAUAUGAAUAAGCGCCGGCUAACUCCGUGCCAGCAGCCGCGGUAAUA
rnacentral:rRNA from 1 species